AUGUGGGACACACCCGGGGACAUGUGGGACACACCCGGGGACAUGUGGGACACACCUGGGGACAGGGACAGGUGGGACACACUUAGGGACACCUGGGGACACAUCAGAGACACCUGUGACACAUCUGGGGACAGAUGUGAUACUGUCAGGGACAGGUGGGACACACCUGGGGACAGGUGGGACAGGAACAGACAGGUGACACACCUGGGCAGCGGGGACAGGGACAGGUGUGACACAGCCAGAAAGGUGGGACACACCCAGGGACAGGUGGGACACUCUCAGAGACACCUGUGACACACUUGGGGACAGGUGUGACACUGUCAGGGAUACCUGUGACACACUCGGGGGCAGGUGGGACACUGUCAGGGACAGGUGUGACACUUGGGGACACAGGUGACAUUGUCAGAGACACCUGUGACACUCCUGGGCAGGUGUGACACAGCCAGACAGGUGUGACACACUCAGAGACACCUGGGACACCCUUGGGGACAGGUGUGACACCUGGGACAGCCACACCGGACCAAAGGUGUGACACACCUGGGCUGGGGGGACAAGGAUGGGUGUGACACACCCAGGGCCAGGUGUGACACCUGGGGACACAGGUGACACAGGCAGGGACGGGUGCCACACUCAUCCAGGUGUGCCUGGUGUGUC
rnacentral:lncRNA from 1 species